UACGAAGGGGGCUAGCGUUGCUCGGAAUCACUGGGCGUAAAGGGUGCGUAGGCGGGUCUUUAAGUCAGCGGUGAAAUCCUGGAGCUCAACUCCAGAACUGCCUUUGAUACUGAGGAUCUUGAGUACGGGAGAGGUGAGUGGAACUGCGAGUGUAGAGGUGAAAUCCGUAGAUAUUCGCAAGAACACCAGUGGCGAAGGCGGCUCACUGGCCCGUUACUGACGCUGAGGCACGAAAGCGUGGGGAGCAAACAGG
rnacentral:rRNA from 1 species